rnacentral:misc_RNA from 1 species
UCUCCGUUGGUGAACCAGCGGAGGGAUCAUUACCGAGUUGCAAAACUCCACACCUGUGAAUGUUAACCAGUCGUUGCUUCGGCGGGCGGCCCUUGGGAAGGGCCUUUGUCGCAAGGCGUCCGCCAAAGUCCUGUCACUAGACGUACCGGCCUCUCUGAGCUACCAUGGAAUGAAUCAAAACUUUCAACAACGGAUCUCUUGGUUCUG